rnacentral:lncRNA from 1 species
UUAGAAUUCCUGCAAACACGGGUUAGUUAUUUUACAUGAAGCAUGUACGUGACUCCUGGUUUCUGAGAAAACAUUUUUUUCUCUCUAUCCUACAGUGCUAGGCAAAGCACCCCAAAGCCUCUUGAUUUUAAACACAGAAAACUCCACUGCCGAAAUGUUUGCCCUAUCCCAGCGCUAAAGCCUUAGAAGCACCGACGAAUCUAGGCCAAGGAGUACAAGAUGGCAGUGAGAUACCACAAUGCAGGCAAGGAAGACGGGAUGGGCCCCAAUCGGGAAGCACGCGCCACCAGCUCUGGAGAGAACCGUCUGAGGAGACGCGGGGGAGAGUUUGGGUCACAGGAGCAGGAAGGAACUGGCAGGUGUCUGUCACCUUAUCAUCCCGGACACCAUGUUUACAUUGUAAUUGGCUUCUUUACAGAGAGGGAGGGACCAGGUUCCCAGUGUGAGUGAUGUUUAGAGGUUUUCUGAGAAGCACAAGGACUGGACUUUGACAGGAAGCAACGAGGCAAGAGGGAAGCUCGAGAACAGGUUUUGCUGAGGAUUCCCCCCAAGAAAAGUGCUCCCCGGGAGGCCGUUCCUGGCACCAAGACUGGCGGAGCCACCACACCCGUUAAAGGGAUCCACCUGGACAGCGAUCAGGCAAGCACCUCCAAGGAUCACGUAGGACCAGCAGAAGCAGCGUAAAGUAUUGGAACUUUGAAUCUGACAUCAGAAAGACCUGCACUCAGCCGGGCACGGUGGCUCACGAUUGUAAUCCCAGGCCGAGGCGGUGGAUCACUUGAGCGAGCUGAAAUUUACCAUAAUCCGGCUGAUGUUUAGACUGCACCCAUCGUUUUUUCCAUUCAUCUAUGAGUAAAGGAGAAAAAAAGAACGUAAAGACAAAAUGCAGCUAAUACUGACCAAGACUUACAGGAACGGUAAAGCCCUGUGAUGAAUGUCCUGUUUUUUCCUCAUUCAAAAGAUAGAGAAACAGAAGCUCAGAAUCUUGCCCAAAAGCCCAGUUGUAAGUAAGUGGGUAAGCCAGGCUCAGACCCGGUUCUAGGUAACACCAAAAUCUGUACUUUUAACUUCUUUAUAUGACUUCCCAUGAAAUCACGUGUGAGAAAAGCCCUUUAUAACCCGAAAAGUGUGCCACAAAUUUAAGAGUCAAUCAUAGCACUUCACGGUCUGUAAUUAAUAGUUUGUGUAUAAUUUGAGUAAUGUCUGUCUUCCCUACCAGACUAGUAAAAUCUAUAACUAUUCUGCUGACCGUUGUGUGCCAGUAUUUAGCACAGAGUAAUAACGAAAAAUAUUUGUGAAUAACUGAAUGGAUGCAUGAUCAUGUCUUUUGCCUAAGCCAUAAGAUUCUUAGCCUUACUAAUGGAUUGACUCUUUUAUUCUCCAUUUGACAAAUGUUAAUUGAUUCUAAAAAGCUUGUAGAAAUAGUUGUAUAACUUUGGCCUUGAACUUUAUGGUAGAAGAGGUUAGAAUAGAACUCAAAACUUCUCAGUGCUAAUUAUUUUUCUGGGUGAACAGUAUCAAUACAAAUGAAACCUGACACAAUUUAGGGUGUCUCAAAACAAGGAGGCUCUCUUUUUGUUAGGAGAAUAAUAUCAUAUGAUUAAUGAAGUCCCUUUAACUUUUCACAUUUUUUCUCUUAACAUCAUAACAUCAUGAAAGGCUCAAGCCAGAAUGACCCUUUAGUGGUCAUUUAAUCUGACUUCCUCAUAUUAGAGGUAGGGAAACUGAAACCCAGAGAAGGAAGUGACUUGCCCAUGCACACAGACUUGUCAGUUACAGAUCUGAGACUAGAACCCAGUUCUUCUGCACCCUUGUUUUGGGCUCAUUAAUUCCUUUCUUCAAGAAACGCUUAUUGAGCAUCACUCUGUGCCAGGUAUCAGGUGCACAGAAAUGAGAAUCUGACAAAGUCCUUUCAGGGACCUGUGAGCUUUAGGGAGUUCAUAAUCUGGUGAAAGAGACGGAUAAGUAAACAAACAGUAAACAAGUAAACAGACAAGUCAAACAACAGUGUGGUAAGGGUAGUGAUAGAAAGCACAGGGCAAUAAAAUUCAGAAAAACACUGACUGCUCCUCAGGGUCAAGGCAGACUUCAGAGAAGGCAUGCCUGAAUGUCACAUGAACUUAUCUCUGUAUCUGUACUUCCCAGAGUGUCUGGCUUGUGAUGUAGCUCAAAUCAAAAGACCUGGCUAGGGACUCGUUUCUGCCACCACCUUCAGCAGAAUUUUUUUUUUUUU